UCCGUUUUGACAACGGCAGUCUCGUUAGAGUCCCCGGCAUGACCCGCUGGCAACUAACGACAAGGGUUUCGCUCGUUCAGGGACUUAACCCGACAUCUCAUGACACGAGCUGACGACAGCCAUGCAGCACCUGUGCAUGGACUCCGAAGAGGAACCGAUGUUUCCACCGGCUUUCCCAUGCAUGUCAAGCCCAGGUAAGGUUCUUCGCGUUGCUUCGAAUUAAACCACAUGCUCCACCGCUUGUGCGGGCCCCCGUCAAUUCCUUUGAGUUUCGGUCUUGCGACCGUACUCCCCAGGCGGAGAGCUUAAUGCGUUAGCUGCGCCACCGACAAGUAAACUUGCCGACGGCUAGCUCUCAUAGUUUACGGCGUGGACUAC
rnacentral:misc_RNA from 1 species